UGAUGUCUUCUCACCAAGUU
rnacentral:snRNA from 1 species